rnacentral:piRNA from 1 species
UGCAUGCUCGCCUCCCUCUUGCUGGCAUCCC